CUAAGCACUUCAGUAAUAAAAAGAGGAAGAACAAACAGUCCCAACCCUGCGAAGAUGCUGUAUGGAGGUCAGGCUGCCCAACAGGCUGGAAGAGGCACAGCACGAAUGCUGCAGCAUCUCCACAGAAACUGCUCCAGUGCUGGGCUCAUCCAAUCAGAGGCCCUCUUGCCACAUUGAACGCUACCCUAGGAGUGACAUGAAAGCCAUUUCCUGUGUUUUCCACAGGAGGGCAGAUGCCCUUCCUCCACCAGCCAAGGUGACCUCACUCAAGUUGCUCGCUGAACCUGCCCUGGCAUCCGUCUCACCGAGCCCCGUCAAAGGCUCAAACACUUGACUCACCUAGCCCGUCAGUCCUCUACCUUUUGGGCUGUUCUGGAAUGGAGCUCAGGAACAAAGUAACGACCUCGCCCCCCCUUACCCAGGUCACCUUUCCUUGUUCCAAGCUCCAUCGU
rnacentral:lncRNA from 1 species